rnacentral:rRNA from 1 species
CCGGUCAUAAACCGGAGGAAGUGGGGAUGACGUCAAGUCAGCAUGGCCUUUAUAUCCCGGGCUACACACACGCUACAAUGGGAAGGGACAAUAGGUUGCGAAGCCGCGAGGCGGAGUCAAUCCAGCAAAACUUCCCUCAGUUCAGAUUGCAGGCUGCAACUCGCCUGCAUGAAGUUGGAGUUGCUAGUAAACGCAGGUCAGCCAUACUGCGUUGAAUACGUUCCCGGGGGCUU